UGUGCAGGCGGUCUUCUAAGUUUGGUGUGAAAUCUCCCGGCUUAACUGGGAGGGUGCGCCGAAUACUGAAAGACUAGAGUGCGGGAGAGGAGAGUGGAAUUCCUGGUGUAGCGGUGAAAUGCGUAGAUAUCAGGAGGAACACCGGUGGUGUAGACGGCUCUCUGGACCGUAACUGACGCUGAAACACGAAAGCGUGGGUAGCAAACAGGAUUAGAUACCCUGGUAGUCCACGCCCUAAACGAUGCAUAUUUGGUGUGGGCAGUUCAGUCUGUCCGUGCCGGAGCUAACGCGUUAAAUAUGCCGCCUGGGGAGUACAGUCGCAAGGCUGAA
rnacentral:rRNA from 1 species